rnacentral:rRNA from 1 species
CCUACGGGUGGCAGCAGUGGGGAAUAUUGGACAAUGGGCGAAAGCCUGAUCCAGCCAUGCCGCGUGUGUGAAGAAGGCCUUCGGGUUGUAAAGCACUUUCAGUGGGGAAGAAAGCCUUGGGGCUAAUACCCUCGAGGAAGGACAUCACCCACAGAAGAAGCACCGGCUAACUCCGUGCCAGCAGCCGCGGUAAUACGGAGGGUGCGAGCGUUAAUCGGAAUUACUGGGCGUAAAGCGCGCGUAGGCGGUCUGAUAAGCCGGUUGUGAAAGCCCCGGGCUCAACCUGGGAACGGCAUCCGGAACUGUCAGGCUAGAGUGCAGUGGAGGAAGGUAGAAUUCCCGGUGUAGCGGUGAAAUGCGUAGAGAUCGGGAGGAAUACCAGUAGCGAAGGCGGCCUUCUGGACUGACACUGACGCUGAGGUGCGAAAGCGUGGGUAGCAAACAGGAUUAGAUACCCUAGUAGUC